rnacentral:rRNA from 1 species
UACGUAGGUCCCGAGCGUUGUCCGGAUUUAUUGGGCGUAAAGCGAGCGCAGGUGGUUUAUUAAGUCUGGUGUAAAAGGCGGUGGCUCAACCAUUGUAUGCAUUGGAAACUGGUAGACUUGAGUGCAGGAGAGGAGAGUGGAAUUCCAUGUGUAGCGAUAAAAUGCGUAGAUAUAUGGAGGAACACCGGUGGCGAAAGCGGCUCUCUGGCCUGUAACUGACACUGAGGCUCGAAAGCGUGGGGAGCAAACAGG